rnacentral:rRNA from 1 species
GAUGAACGCUGGCGGCGUGCUUAGCACAUGCAAGUCGAACGGAAAGGCCAGUGCUUGCCCUGGUACUCGAGUGGCGAACGGGUGAGUAACACGUGGGUGAUCUGCCCUGCACUUCGGGAUAAGCCUGGGAAACUGGGUCUAAUACCGGAUAGGACAAUGGUUUGGAUGCCGUUGUGGAAAGUUUUUUCGGUGUGGGAUGAGCUCGCGGCCUAUCAGCUUGUUGGUGGGGUAAUGGCCUACCAAGGCGUCGACGGGUAGCCGGCCUGAGAGGGUGUACGGCCACAUUGGGACUGCGAUACGGCCCAGACUCCUACGGGAGGCAGCAGUGGGGAAUAUUGCACAAUGGGCGCAAGCCUGAUGCAGCGACGCCGCGUGGGGGAUGACGGCCUUCGGGUUGUAAACUCCUUUCGCUAGGGACGAAGCGUAUUUGUGACGGUACCUGGAGAAGAAGCACCGGCUAACUACGUG